CACGUGCUAUAUGGAUACUGCUGGCUAAAAGACUCCAAACUUGAACAUGUGGUGUGUGUGCACCAAUCAUAGAAUGUGCCUAUGGACAACACCUCUAGAAGACCUCCAGUGACUAUCCUCUGAUUUGCAAUUACUUACUACCCAAAUGGACAGGACAGCCUGCUAUGUGAAUGUGGAGAAUACAUCCGAACCCUGGCAUAUCUAGUGAACUGCUGACCUCUAAGAUCCUUCUCCAAGGGGACAACCUUGAUUCAUUCCAUAGAAUGGGAAGCUACAGCGUGGAUGCUAAAUCUGGAUGUUAACCUUUAAUGUUGCUUUUCAAAUUGCUAUACGAAAUAUGAUGAGGAUGACCCCACUGUAGGAGACUAGCAGUAAAUUCCAUAACGAUGUAGACUGAGGAGCCCUGCUCUGCCAAUCCAACAUCUCUAUGAAGCAUUGAGAAAAUAGUCAUUUGUAAAGUGUAACCACAAUUUACCACACUUCAAUUAACAUGGGUUGCAAUGAUGAAGCUCCACAGGAAUGUGAAGGAUGGAAGAGAGGGCCUCUUCAAGCUUUCUUAACAUCAGCAGCUCAACAGGAAGUUCAGCUGAGUCAGCUGGCCUGGGGAAAGCCUCUAUCACAGGACCCUAGAUUUGAUAUCCUUUUCUUACAAAAAUAUGUAAGAAUAUGUUUGGCACAGUAUCAAAUUAUCAAAGUAACUAAUCAUGCUACUUUCAAUACAAAUUAAAAUUUUUUCCAAGCAAGUGCCGAGUGGCAAAUAUAUCCUUCAACGCAAACCAAUAUUUACAAUGAACAUAUUCUCCAUGCUAUAAAAAGGUGCAGACAAGUGAACAAUAAACUAUUUUUGAAAAUUAAUUUUUAAACAGAUAUAUGAUCAAGGAGUUAAUCCACACAGGUCUAAUAUUUGUAUUAACCUGAGGAGUUUGUCUAUACUUCAGAAAGCAGUGGUCCUGACUCAGCUUUACACAGAACAUAGCCAAUUCUAUUAUAAAUAUAGGACAUACUGAU